CGAGUAGACGGCGUGGUAAGUCAGAUGUGAAAUCUUAGGGCUCAACUUUAAGACUGCAUCUGAAACUGUCAUGCUAGAGUGCAGAAGAGGUAAGUGGAAUUCCUAGUGUAGCGGUGAAAUGCGUAGAUAUUAGGAGGAACACCAGUGGCGAAGGCGACUUACUGGGCUGUAACUGACGUUGAGGCGCGAAAGUGUGGGGAGCAAACA
rnacentral:rRNA from 1 species